ensembl:lncRNA
GAAAAAGCAUUCAAAACACCAGUCCCACAUUUGCCUCUGUCUUUGUCCUUCCAGGAUAACCUCCUGGAAAGUGCCAGGAGCCUCUGUUGAACAUUCGGUGCCCUCAGAAUCCUGUUGGUAUGGAUGGGAACUGAAAACUUUUGAUACUGGAGAGGAGAGAUUUAACUCUGAGGGGCUGCAGAAAAGAAAAUGUGUUCCUGUUCCAGAACCUCCAGGUGCUGGUUUGCAAGUGAUGCUUUUGAGAGGAUCUGCGGAUGGCUGCCAUUUAUCGAGACAGAUGAACUCAUUUGCAGGAAAAGGAAAGGCAGAGAUACAAAGAUUGACAUUUCUACUGUGUGGUUUGAAGCUAUA